GUUAUUUAGUUUAGUUAAAAUGUAACUUCAAUAACAAAGAAUGAAUUUCUUUGUGACCAAACAAGAUAAUGAACAAACUAUAGGGGUUAAAAAGGGGCAAGUGGAAAGAUGUUUUAAUUAAAAACAUGGGGGGAAAAGGAAAAAAAACCCAAUUCUGGGUCUUGUGGGUCGCGAACAGAAGGCAAGAAAGGAGAAACCCUUCUCCUUCAAUUGAGUUCAAGAAAUUCAGCCAAUUGAAGCCCUAAUCGUAGUUGUACUCAUGCAUGUCAAUGAUUUCUUGGUCAUCUAGCCCUAACAAAUACAUGAAUAGGAACCACACUAGCAUGGACCAAGCAUGGAAGGCUAACGGGUCAAGAUGA
rnacentral:lncRNA from 1 species